rnacentral:rRNA from 1 species
UACAGAGGAGCCAAGCGUUGUCCGGAUUGACUGGGCGUAAAGCGCACGCAGGCGGAUGCGCGCGUGGGGUGUGAAAUCUGGCCGCUUAACGGCCAGGCGCCAUCCCAUACGGCGCGUCUGGAGUGAUGCAGAGGUCGAUGGAAUUGCCGGUGUAGUGGUGAAAUGCGCAGAUAUCGGGAAGAACACCCGUGGCGAAGGCGGUUCUCUGGGACGGUACUGACGCUGAGACGCGAAAGCGUGGGGAGCGAACAGG